UACGAAGGGGGCUAGCGUUGCUCGGAAUUACUGGGCGUAAAGGGCGCGUAGGCGGGUUGUUAAGUUAGAGGUGAAAGCCCAGGGCUCAACCCUGGAAUUGCCUUUAAAACUGGCAGCCUUGAGUAUGAGAGAGGUGUGUGGAACUCCGAGUGUAGAGGUGAAAUUCGUAGAUAUUCGGAAGAACACCAGUGGCGAAGGCGACACACUGGCUCAUUACUGACGCUGAGGCGCGAAAGCGUGGGGAGCAAACAGG
rnacentral:rRNA from 1 species